ensembl:lncRNA
AUGAAGGCCCACGUCCCACGCCCUCAGAUUUUCCAGAUUUUCCAAGGCAGCCAAAGCCGGCGAGCGCCCCGUGCUGCUGGCACCGCGUUGGCUGCCCACCCCGGCCGUGGAGCUUUCCCAGUCAGUCCUGUCACUGGCCCAGCUCGGCCACGAGUGGUGUCUGCAGCCACAGACUGUCCCGUUCCUCAGAGAGCAGACGGCCGUCCUUUCCUCGUGACAGCACAACCUCCCCGCUUGCCAGGGGAACAAUUUUGUGAGCACCGCAAGAAGUCUGAGCAGAACUUUGCGAUACAGUCAUCGACAAAACUGGGAACCAAGCUUCGGUUUUCUUUUAAUUUUAGAAGGGAUUUUGGCUUCCUAAACUUGGAAACGUUGUGGGACUCUGCUGGUUUCUCAAGUGCUUUGCAUUGCGCGACAGCUGUAGCAGAUUUUCUUUUUGCUUCUCUUUCAGGUAAACAGAGAAGAAAGCUAAUUGUCCGGCCAUUGGUGGUGCCCAGCUGCUUUGCCCGCACACCUGCUGCCACUUUGCAGGGCUUUGGGCCCCACUUUGGGUCAGUUUGCAGCGAGGUGGCUCCACGAGCAGGGUGCCCUGGAGCUUUCCUCUCCCUGUGCACGGAGGCCGGAGGCACAGGCGCAGAAAAGGAGGAAAAGGAGCUAUUGUCUGAUUGCUGCCUGCUGUAGGCCUCGUGCUGCUGCUGCAUCAAGGUGGAAUCAGUGUCAUUUAGCAUCUUCGCAGUUCUUGUAAGCCUUACUCUUGCUCUGAGAUUUUAUUUUGUAUUUGCUCCUGUAACUAGCUCCCUACUGUAUUGUGUUUUUUUUUUUUGAAAGAUUUACCUUGUCCCUAGCUGCUGUUCCAGUUCUUUGUCACUCACGUCCCUGUGCUCCACGUGGUAUUUAUUUCUGUUCAGUGAGAGUUUUGCAUCUCCACAUGGGGGGUGGUCACACCAGCUCAAAAAAAAGGAUGGAACCAAACAAAGAGACAGGGGAGUGGCGAUGGAAAUGAUUAGCAGCACAGAGAGACAAGAAUAGUAUUGCUGAGAUCGCAGGAGACCAGGUAGGCACGUGCCAGAACUACAGAGGCUGAUGAACAGCGCUUAGAAGGAAAAUUGUUUUUUCCUUUCUACUCUUCAAUGGUGGAAUAAGGGGAUAUUAAAAAUCAACACGUUGACUGAGGCAAGGCUGAUGAAAGGUAGCUUUGCUGUGUUGUACUGCUACCUUGUAGGGUUUGGUGCCACGAAUUAUCUUCGAGUCCAAGAGAUUAUUAGAAGUUAAAAAAACAAAAACAAGAACUUUACCAUUCAUAUAACUGCCUGCACGAGAUGUUUAUAAACAAGGAUCCUGGUUUUCUCCCCCUUUUUUUCCUGUGCCAUCAGGGUUUGAUGUUGACUCCCCGCUUGCUCUAUCUGUCACGUGGAGUAACAGAAUUUUGGAGGUGAUGUAAUUCCCUGAGUUCACAGCUCGAUGUUCGAUCGCAGUUCUGUGUUAACUUGCUAAGCCUUUUUUUUUUUCCUUUAAGUGGGAGCCAAAAUGCUGCUGGUGGUGUUCUAGGAGGGCGGGAGGGUUUGUGGUGGCACAACACAGCUGUAAAGGCGGGGGGGAAACUGAUAUAGGAACGCUCUCAUCAUCCUGCUGCUUCCAAAAACCUGCAUCUCCUGUGUUUCCCUGCUUAAUGUCUUUCUGACUUCAUGAGGAAGAAAAAAAGGUGAAGCUCAGGCUAGGCUGAGCCUACCUGGGCAUGGCACCCGCAGUCCUAGUACAAGACUAUGGUUUAGCUUAUUUGCCAUAAAUCUAUCUUGGCCGGACAGUUUGUGAGCACCUCCUGCUGAAAUUGAGACAGGAGCUAAUGUUGCCACCCCGUUGUGUUGCAGAGAAUGGAAGCACGAGGCACUGCCUUUUCCGGCGGGUGGAGCUGUGACCUGUCCGCUCCUCCUGAGCUCCUCUCUCAACGUAGACUUGGGAACUUGGGCAGCAUCACAAGGGAGACCUCCAUCCGCACUGGCCUUGUGCUUCAAAUGUGACCGUCGGCUUUAACCUCCUCCUGCUCUAAGUAAGUGUGUUUCUUCUCCGAAAAAAACACUUGCCCGCAGGCUUGGUGCCAUGGGCACACAGACUCCAGAUUGAGCAGUUGGGGGCGACAGGGGCUGCUCCUCUCCAUGCCACUGCCCCACAUAAGGGCUACACAAGGCAGCUGCAAUGGAGGCCACCAAAGGGUUUAACCCUCAAGGCAGGCAUAGCCCAUGCAGCUGUGGCUUCUCGGGUGAGCAGUGGUCCUGGUACGCUCGUGCUAACGGCCACACUGCUAGACCUAAGCCAGGGGUAUGCGUAUACCGCUGUCACUGCAGAUACUUGGCUAAAAGCUCUCCAAAUGAGGUUGUUUCUUUGCAACUGCAUGUUUGGCUUGUACAGGUGGCCUAUUUUUAGAAAGAGCAUAAGCACAGCAGAGGGAGAGCAACCUGCCACCUGGCUGCGUGUGCCAGGGAACAGGGUUUUGCAGUUGCUGCAUUACACAGAGCAACUGCUUCGUUCAUUGCCCGCUCCCAACAACAAACAGGUUUGCAGUCAGGCCUUUCAGACAAUCUUCCUUUAAUACAAAGUCAAUAUAUCUACAUACACAGUGGUAUGAAAACCACUUACUGUUUCAGUUUGAAAUAACAGUGUGAAAGCAACAGCACUUUGCUCUCAUACAAAGGAAAAAAACCUCCCUCCCUCCCCCCAGCUCUUCCAGUAAGAUUUUGCUGCAACAUACUUAGAAAUUUGGGCAACUUUCACACAGAUAAGAAGUUAAAUCUCGAAGAAGCCUUUCGUUCUUUUUUUUCUUUUUCAGUUAAAGACAGGAAAUGGAUUGUUGUGGGGUUUUCUGGGUAGCACUUGAUGGCAAUGAUAAACCCUUCUAGAAAAAUAAAAAAAAGUCCCAGGCAAGCA